rnacentral:rRNA from 1 species
ACGGAAGGCAGCAGUGGGGAAUCUUGCGCAAUGGGCGAAAGCCUGACGCAGCAACGCCGCGUGCGGGAUGACGGCCUUCGGGUUGUAAACCGCUUUCAGCAGGGAAGACACUGACGGUACCUGCAGAAGAAGCUCCGGCUAACUACGUGCCAGCAGCCGCGGUAAUACGUAGGGAGCAAGCGUUAUCCGGAUUUAUUGGGCGUAAAGCGCGCGUAGGCGGUUUGUUAAGCAAGGUGUUAAAGCCCAGGGCUCAACCCUGGUUUGCACCUUGAACUGGCAGACUUGAGUUCGGUAGGGGAAAGUGGAAUUCCCAGUGUAGCGGUGAAAUGCGCAGAUAUUGGGAAGAACACCGGUGGCGAAGGCGGCUUUCUGGGCCGUAACUGACGCUGAGGCGCGAAAGCUAGGGGAGCGAACAGGAUUAGAUACCCUGGUA